rnacentral:rRNA from 1 species
UUAAGCGACUAAGCGUACACGGUGGAUGCCCUGGCAGUCAGAGGCGAUGAAGGACGUGCUAAUCUGCGAAAAGCGUCGGUAAGGUGAUAUGAACCGUUAUAACCGGCGAUGUCCGAAUGGGGAAACCCAGUGCAAUUCGUUGCACUAUCGUUAACUGAAUACAUAGGUUAACGAGGCGAACCGGGGGAACUGAAACAUCUAAGUACCCCGAGGAAAAGAAAUCAACCGAGAUUCCCCCAGUAGCGGCGAGCGAACGGGGAGCAGCCCAGAGUCUGAAUCAGCUUGUGUGUUAGUGGAACGGUCUGGAAAGUCCGACGGUACAGGGUGAUAGUCCCGUACACCAAAAUGCACAGGCUGUGAACUCGAAGAGUAGGGCGGGACACGUGGUAUCCUGUCUGAAUAUGGGGGGACCAUCCUCCAAGGCUAAAUACUCCUGACUGACCGAUAGUGAACCAGUACCGUGAGGGAAAGGCGAAAAGAACCCCGGCGAGGGGAGUGAAAAAGAACCUGAAACCGUGUACGUACAAGCAGUGGGAGCACCUUCGGGUGUGACUGCGUACCUUUUGUAUAAUGGGUCAGCGACUUAUAUUCUGUAGCAAGGUUAACCGUAUAGGGGAGCCGCAGGGAAACCGAGUCUUAACUGGGCGUUAAGUUGCAGGGUAUAGACCCGAAACCCGGUGAUCUAGCCAUGGGCAGGUUGAAGGUUGGGUAACACUAACUGGAGGACCGAACCGACUAAUGUUGAAAAAUUAGCGGAUGACUUGUGGCUGGGGGUGAAAGGCCAAUCAAACCGGGAGAUAGCUGGUUCUCCCCGAAAGCUAUUUAGGUAGCGCCUCGUGAACUCAUCUUCGGGGGUAGAGCACUGUUUCGGCUAGGGGGUCAUCCCGACUUACCAACCCGAUGCAAACUACGAAUACCGAAGAAUGUUAUCACGGGAGACACACGGCGGGUGCUAACGUCCGUCGUGAAGAGGGAAACAACCCAGACCGCCAGCUAAGGUCCCAAAGUCAUGGUUAAGUGGGAAACGAUGUGGGAAGGCACAGACAGCCAGGAUGUUGGCUUAGAAGCAGCCAUCAUUUAAAGAAAGCGUAAUAGCUCACUGGUCGAGUCGGCCUGCGCGGAAGAUGUAACGGGGCUAAACCAUGCACCGAAGCUGCGGCAGCGACACUAUGUGUUGUUGGGUAGGGGAGCGUUCUGUAAGCCUGCGAAGGUGUGCUGUGAGGCAUGCUGGAGGUAUCAGAAGUGCGAAUGCUGACAUAAGUAACGAUAAAGCGGGUGAAAAGCCCGCUCGCCGGAAGACCAAGGGUUCCUGUCCAACGUUAAUCGGGGCAGGGUGAGUCGACCCCUAAGGCGAGGCCGAAAGGCGUAGUCGAUGGGAAACAGGUUAAUAUUCCUGUACUUGGUGUUACUGCGAAGGGGGGACGGAGAAGGCUAUGUUAGCCGGGCGACGGUUGUCCCGGUUUAAGCAUGUAGGCUGAUUAUCCAGGCAAAUCCGGAUAAUCAAGGCUGAGGUGUGAUGACGAGGCACUACGGUGCUGAAGUAACAAAUGCCCUGCUUCCAGGAAAAGCCUCUAAGCAUCAGGUAACAUUAAAUCGUACCCCAAACCGACACAGGUGGUCAGGUAGAGAAUACCAAGGCGCUUGAGAGAACUCGGGUGAAGGAACUAGGCAAAAUGGUGCCGUAACUUCGGGAGAAGGCACGCUGGUGUGUAGGUGAAGUCCCUGCGGAUGGAGCUGAGACCAGUCGAAGAUACCAGCUGGCUGCAACUGUUUAUUAAAAACACAGCACUGUGCAAACACGAAAGUGGACGUAUACGGUGUGACGCCUGCCCGGUGCCGGAAGGUUAAUUGAUGGGGUUAUCCGUAAGGAGAAGCUCUUGAUCGAAGCCCCGGUAAACGGCGGCCGUAACUAUAACGGUCCUAAGGUAGCGAAAUUCCUUGUCGGGUAAGUUCCGACCUGCACGAAUGGCGUAAUGAUGGCCAGGCUGUCUCCACCCGAGACUCAGUGAAAUUGAACUCGCUGUGAAGAUGCAGUGUACCCGCGGCAAGACGGAAAGACCCCGUGAACCUUUACUAUAGCUUGACACUGAACAUUGAGCCUUGAUGUGUAGGAUAGGUGGGAGGCUUUGAAGCGUGGACGCCAGUCUGCGUGGAGCCAACCUUGAAAUACCACCCUUUAAUGUUUGAUGUUCUAACGUUGGCCCCUGACCGGGGUUGCGGACAGUGUCUGGUGGGUAGUUUGACUGGGGCGGUCUCCUCCCAAAGCGUAACGGAGGAGCACGAAGGUUAGCUAAUCCUGGUCGGACAUCAGGAGGUUAGUGCAAUGGCAUAAGCUAGCUUGACUGCGAGCGUGACGGCGCGAGCAGGUGCGAAAGCAGGUCAUAGUGAUCCGGUGGUUCUGAAUGGAAGGGCCAUCGCUCAACGGAUAAAAGGUACUCCGGGGAUAACAGGCUGAUACCGCCCAAGAGUUCAUAUCGACGGCGGUGUUUGGCACCUCGAUGUCGGCUCAUCACAUCCUGGGGCUGAAGUAGGUCCCAAGGGUAUGGCUGUUCGCCAUUUAAAGUGGUACGCGAGCUGGGUUUAGAACGUCGUGAGACAGUUCGGUCCCUAUCUGCCGUGGGCGCUGGAGAAUUGAGGGGGGCUGCUCCUAGUACGAGAGGACCGGAGUGGACGCAUCACUGGUGUUCGGGUUGUCAUGCCAAUGGCACUGCCCGGUAGCUAAAUGCGGAAGAGAUAAGUGCUGAAAGCAUCUAAGCACGAAACUUGCCCCGAGAUGAGUUCUCCCUGAGACUUUAAGUCUCCUGAAGGAACGUUAAAGACGAUGACGUUGAUAGGCCGGGUGUGUAAGCGCAGCGAUGCGUUGAGCUAACCGGUACUAAUGAACCGUGAGGCUUAACCUU